GAUGAACGCUGGCGGCGUGCCUAAUACAUGCAAGUAGAACGCACAGAUUAUACCGUAGCUUGCUACACCAUAGCCUGUGAGUUGCGAAUGAGUGGGUAAUGCCUAAGUUACCUGCCUGGUAGCGCGGGGUAACUCUUGGGCAAGUUAGCUAAUACCUCUUAAUCUUGAUUAUUGAAUGAUAAUUGAUUGAAAUAUGCUAUUUCAUCACUACCAGAUGGCCCUGCGUUGUAUUAGCUAGUAGGGGAGGUAACGGCUCACCUAAGCGACGGUACAUCGCCGACCUGGGAGGGGGAUCCGCCAAACUGGGACUGAGACACGGGCCAGACUCCUACGGGAGGCAGCAGUAGGGAAUCUUCGGCAAUGGACGAAAGGCUGAACGGGCAACGCCGCGGGAGGGAAGAAGGUUUUCGGGUCGUAAAGCUCUUUUUUAAGGGAAGAAAGGGAGUGAGAGUGGAAAGUUCACACUGUGACGGUAUCUUACCAGAAAGGGACGGCUAACUACGUG
rnacentral:rRNA from 1 species